UACGGAGGGUGCAAACGUUGCUCGGAAUCAUUGGGCGUAAAGCGCACGUAGGCGGUCCGAUAAGUCGGAUGUGAAAUCCCUCGGCUCAACCGAGGAAGUGCAUCCGAAACUGCCGGGCUUGAGUACGGAAGAGGGUCUCGGAAUUCCCGGUGUAGAGGUGAAAUUCGUAGAUAUCGGGAGGAACACCAGUGGCGAAGGCGGAGACCUGGGCCGAUACUGACGCUGAGGUGCGAAAGCGUGGGGAGCAAACAGG
rnacentral:rRNA from 1 species